GACGAACGCUGGCGGCGUGCUUAACACAUGCAAGUCGUGCGGUAAGGCCCUUUCGGGGGUACACGAGCGGCGAACGGGUGCGUAACACGUGAGCAACCUGCCCUUCACUUUGGGAUAACUGCCGGAAACGGUGGCUAAUACCGGAUAUGACUUCCUCACGCAUGUGGGGUGGUGGAAAGCCUUCGGGUGGUGGGGGAUGGGCUCGCGGUCUAUCAGCUUGUUGGUGGGGUGAUGGCCUACCAAGGCUUCGACGGGUAGCCGGCCUGAGAGGGUGACCGGCCACACUGGGACUGAGACACGGCCCAGACGCCUACGGGAGGCAGCAGUGGGAAAUAUUGGACAAUGGGCGAAAGCCUGAGCCAGCAACGCCGCGUGAGGGAUGACGGCCUUCGGGUUGUAAACCUCUUUCGCCUGCGACGAAGCGAGAGUGACGGUAGCAGGUAAAGAAGCACCGGCCAACUACGUG
rnacentral:rRNA from 1 species